CGCGGGAGCGAGGAGGGCGGGAGCGGGCUUUGUCGGGCUGCAGUCGUGCCCGCGCCCCCGCUGCUCCAAACCCGAGCACGUCCGGAAAAGCGGUCUUUUCUUCGUCUGGGAGGUUUUCUCAUCCUCAGUUCCCACCGCUGAGGCUGGUGGCUAGCAACUCUAGGAGAAAGUCCCCAGGAGGAGAAGCAGGGGGGCGCGGAGGACGGGAAGGCGACCCGGAGGGGUAGGAAGUAAACGCUGGACUCGACCGUCCUUCUUUUUUCGGCCUUUCAGUGCGGACCUGACGCAGCGGGGUAGCUGUCAGUCACCACCGGGAUUUAGCAUUGAUCCAGUCAGCAGCUGAGGGGCCACCUCUCACCUCCCGCGGCUACUUGUCUCUGGCCAGAGGCUGGAACAAUAGUUGGUUUUUGUUGUUCUUUUGUUUUUUUUGUGUGUUUUUGUUUUUGUUUUCCGACAGAGCCAGACUGCAAUUAGCAUCUUAUUUGUUCAGGCUCGAAACAGUCUUUGUCAGGACCACUGUGCUAGCUACCGAGGUCAGGCUUCCUGCACUGCUCUCUGCACGGCGACGGGGCAAUAGUGCGGGUUCUAAACUUUUGAUUCGUUCUGCCUUCUUAAUGCAUUUAUUCCUUGUCAAGUUUCCCCUCCUCGUAGCAAGUUUGGACGUCUGAAGAAGUAUCUGACAGGUUUCAGAAGCAGGCUGCAACUGGUCAUUCGCCUUCUAGUUUUGUCUCUACUUGUAGACGCGGUUGAUGGUUUGCAAAACAAGUGUUUGGAUAGUGUGGUGAUGUGGUAGGAGGAGACAUGAUGGGCUAUGCUUUUGAGCCACGAGCCUUCCUAAGGGGGGUCACAAUCAAGAAUAACAAGUGGAACUAUGUAAGGAGAAGCUGGCCUCCGGGCCGCGACAACACCAUCCAAGCCAGCCCAAGAAGACAUAAUUUUGUUUCCUGCCUGCAUGGAGUUCCGUGGGAAAGCUUUGCUGUCAUUGACUCAACAAUAAAAAGGAAGAUGGUGUGCACCCUGGGCUCUGUGACCUGAGAUGAUAAUUUCCAGAUUUUACUACUUAGUUCACUUGUGUCCCUAUGUUUAUCUUUCUAUAUAUUUCACAUUAUAUAUGUAUGUCUAUUAUACAUGCAUAUGUUUUUUAUAUGCAUAUGUUAUUCCCUAGUCUAUCUGUACAAAUAUGUUUAUAUGGUAUGUACACAUGUGUCUCACUUUGGCAUGUUUGGAAGGGUACAUUAUAUUUUUUAUCCAUGGCAAGUAGUGUAAUUUACACAAAAACUAUCAAAUUAGUUGUAAAACUAGAUUUUAUCCAUAUCCUUGUUGAUUUUCACAAGGCGUGCUGAGGAAUCAGUGUGAACUUGUCCAAAUCUAGACUGAUAUUUUAUGGCAUUACCAUCAUUCAAAGUGGCCAAGGUAUCUAAAGUUGAACAUCUUCACAAUUGUGCCUUCUAUUAUUUAUCAGUAUUAUUAAUCACUCCAAGGAAAUAAUGUUUCUAUGUAUAGUACUUUUAAACUUCCUUUUCUUAGCUAACUUUCAAGUUUCUGCAUUUGACA